rnacentral:rRNA from 1 species
AUUGAACGCUGGCGGCAGGCCUAACACAUGCAAGUCGAGCGGAGCGGCGGACGGGUGCGUAACGCCUAGGAAUCUGCCUGGCCGUGGGGGAUAACGUCCGGAAACGGGCGCUAAUACCGCAUACUCUCAGAUGAGCCUCGGUCGGCUUAGCUAGUUGGUGGGGUAAAGGCCUACCAAGGCGACGAUCCGUAACUGGUAUGACAGGAUGAUCAGGCACACUGGAACUGAGACACGGUCCAGACUCAUACGGGAGGCAGCAGUGGGGAAUAUUGUACAAUGGGCGAAAGCCUGAUGCAGCCAUGCCGCGUGUGUGAAGAAGGUCUUCGGAUUGUAAAGCACUUUAAGUUGGGAGGCGUUACCAACAGAAUAAGCACCGGCUAACUUCGUGCCAGCAGCCGCGGUAAUUC